GUCGAACGAGAAACCGUAUUUAUACGGCGGAAAGUGGCGGACGAGCGAGUAACACGUAGGAAUCUGCCCUGUACUCAGGGACAACUGGUCGAAAGAUCAGCUAAUACCGGAUAGUCUCGAAAGAGUAAAGAUUUAUCGGUACGGGAGGAGCCUGCGGCCUAUCAGCUUGUUGGUAAGGUAAUGGCUUACCAAGGCAAUGACGGGUAGCUGGUCUGAGAGGAUGAUCAGCCGCGAUGGGACUGAGACACGGCCCAUACUCCUACGGGAGGCAGCAGUGAGGAAUAUUCCGCAAUGGACGAAAGUCUGACGGAGCGACACCGCGUGGAGGACGACGGCCCUAUGGGUUGUAAACUCCUUUUAUGAGGGAAGAAGUUCUGACGGUACCUCAUGAAUAAGCCCCGGCUAAUUACGUGCCAGCAGCCGCGGGAAUACGUAAGGGGCAAGCGUUAUCCGGAAUUACUGGGCGUAAAGCGUCCGCAGGUUGUGCGAUAAGCAGAUUAUUAAAUACCGGUGCUCAACAUCGGUGCUGUAGUCUGAACUGUCGUGCUAGAGGAAUGCAGAGGAGUGUGGAAUUGUGCAAGUAGGGGUUAAAUCCGUAGAUAUGCACAGGAACACCAAAAGCGAAGGCAACACUCUGGGCAUUUCCUGACACUCAGGGACGAAAGUGUGGGGAGCAAAACGGAUUAGAUACCCGUGUAGUCCACGCCGUAAACGAUGCUGACUCGAUGUUGGGACCCUCGACCUGGUCUCAGCGUCCAAGAUAACUCGUUAAGUCAGCCGCCUGUGUAGUACGAGCGCAAGCUUAAAACACAAAGGAAUAGACGGGGACCCACACAAGCGGUGGAUCGCGGGGUUUAAUGCGAUAAUAAGCGCGUAACCUUACCUAGGCUUGACAUCCUGAUCGUAUGUCUUAGAAACAAGAUAGUCAGUUCGGCUGGAUCAGUGACAGGUGCUGCAUGGUUGUCGUCAGCUCGUGCCUUGAGGUGUUCGGUUAAGUCCGUUAACGAGCGCAACCCUCGUCGUGUGUUGUAUUUUCACACGAGACUGCCGGUUAUAAACCGGAGGAAGGUGAGGAUGACGUCAAAUCCGCAUGGCCCUUAUGCCUAGGGCUACACCCACGAUACAAUGGCACGCACAAACCGAAGCAAAGCGGCAACGCCUAGCCAAUCGGAUAAAACGUGUCUCAGUUCGGAUCGGAGUCUGCAACUCGACUCCGUGAAGCCGGAAUCGCUAGUAAACGUAUAUCAGUCAUGGUACGUUGAAUAUGUUCCUGGGUCUUGUACUCACCGCCCGUCAAGGCACGGAAGUUGGGGGUGCCCG
rnacentral:rRNA from 1 species